rnacentral:rRNA from 1 species
CCUACGGGAGGCAGCAGUGGGGGAUAUUGGACAAUGGGGGGAACCCUGAUCCAGCGACGCCGCGUGAGUGAAGAAGUCUUUCUGUAUGUAAAGCUCUGUCAGCAGGGAAGAAAGCCAUGACGGUACCUUACCACUAAGCCCCGGCUAACUACGUGCCAGCAGCCGCGGUAAUACGGAGGGGGCAAGCGUUAUCCGGAAUUACUGGGUGUAAAGGGAGCGUAGACGGUUAAGUAAGUCUGGAGUGAAAGGCCGGGGCCCAACCCCGGGACUGCUCUGGAAACUAUUGAACUUGAGUGCAGGAGAGGUAAGCGGAAUUCAUGGUGUAGCGGUGAAAUGCGUAGAUAUUAGGAGGAACACCAGUGGCGAAGGCAGCUUACUGGACUGUAACUGACGUUGAGGCUCGAAAGCGUGGGGAGCAAACAGGAUUAGAUACCCGUGUAGUC